AGCGAACGCUGGCGGCAUGCCUAACACAUGCAAGUCGCACGGGUCGGCUUCGGUUGGUCAGUGGCGGACGGGUGAGGAACGCGUAGGGAUCUGUGCUUUGGCGGGGGAUAACCGCGGGAAAUUGCGGCUAAGACCGUAUGGGGCGCUGGUGCGAGAGGCGGUGUCAAAGGGGUGCACCGCGCGAUGUGUGUCGCCGGGGGGUGAGUCUGCGUACGAUUAGGUGGUUGGCGGGGUAGAGGAGGACCAAGGCGUCGAUCGGUAGCUGGGCUGUGAGGGUCAGCAGCCACACUUAGGCUGAGACGCAGCCCGGACUCCUGCGGGAUGCAGCAAUGCGUGAUAUUGGACAGUGGGGUCUGUCCUGAUCCAGCUAUGCCUCGUAAGUGAAGAAGGUCUGCAGAUAGGAAAGCCCUUUCGGCGGGGACGAUUGUGACGGUACCCACAGAAGAAGCCCCGGCUAACUUCGUG
rnacentral:rRNA from 1 species